GGUUUCGUCACAAUAGUGUAGUGGUUAUCACGUCUGCUUUACACGCAGAAGGUCCUGGGUUCAAAACCCAGUGGGACUA